rnacentral:rRNA from 1 species
AACGAACGCUGGCGGCAGGCCUAACACAUGCAAGUCGAGCGCACCCUUCGGGGUGAGCGGCGGACGGGUGAGUAACGCGUGGGAACGUGCCCUUCUCUGCGGAAUAGCCUCGGGAAACUGAGAGUAAUACCGCAUACGCCCUUUGGGGGAAAGAUUUAUCGGAGAAGGAUCGGCCCGCGUUGGAUUAGGUAGUUGGUGGGGUAAUGGCCCACCAAGCCGACGAUCCAUAGCUGGUUUGAGAGGAUGAUCAGCCACACUGGGACUGAGACACGGCCCAGACUCCUACGGGAGGCAGCAGUGGGGAAUCUUAGACAAUGGGGGCAACCCUGAUCUAGCCAUGCCGCGUGAGUGAUGAAGGCCUUAGGGUUGUAAAGCUCUUUCAGCUGGGAAGAUGAUGACGGUACCAGCAGAAGAAGCCCCGGCUAACUCCGUG